rnacentral:rRNA from 1 species
GUGAAUCAUCGAGUCUUUGAACGCACAUUGCACCCUCUGGUAUUCCAGAGGGUAUGCCUGUUUGAGCGUCAUUUCUCUCUCAAAGUCUAUAAUUUUGGUGUUGAGUGAUACUCAAGGUUGUUACAACAAUGGGUUUGCUUGAAAAGUAUUGGCAGGAGGGAGUUACUUUUUCAAAGUGCUUACUGUUUAUCUCAAUGUAUUAGGUCUAACCAACUCGUUGAUAUUUAGACAGUAAGUGCAAGUUUCUCAGCUCGGCCUUACAAUAGCUUACACAAAGUUUGACCUCAAAUCAGGUAGGAUUACCCGCUGAACUUAA